GACGAAGGGGGCUAGCGUUGUUCGGAAUUACUGGGCGUAAAGCGCGUGUAGGUGGUUGUCGUAGUCAGGUGUGAAAGCCUUGAGCUCAACUCAAGAAAUGCACUUGAUACUGGAUAACUAGAGGACCGGAGAGGAUAGUGGAAUUCCCAGUGUAGUGGUGAAAUACGUAGAGAUUGGGAAGAACACCAGUGGCGAAGGCGGCUAUCUGGACGGUUUCUGACACUAAGACUCGAAAGCGUGGGGAGCAAACAGG
rnacentral:rRNA from 1 species